rnacentral:rRNA from 1 species
UACGGAGGGGGCUAGCGUUGUUCGGAAUUACUGGGCGUAAAGCGCUCGUAGGCGGCUUUGUAAGUUAGAGGUGAAAGCCCAGGGCUCAACCCUGGAAUUGCCUUUAAGGCUGCAUCGCUUGAACAUCGGAGAGGUAAGUGGAAUUCCGAGUGUAGAGGUGAAAUUCGUAGAUAUUCGGAAGAACACCAGUGGCGAAGGCGACUUACUGGACGAUUGUUGACGCUGAGGUGCGAAAGCGUGGGGAGCAAACAGG